rnacentral:rRNA from 1 species
AACGAACGCUGGCGGCAUGCCUAACACAUGCAAGUCGAACGAGACCUUCGGGUCUAGUUGCGCACGGGUGCGUAACGCGUGGGAACCUGCCCUUAGGUUCGGAAUAACUCCCCGAAAGGGGUGCUAAUACCGGAUAAUGUCUUCGGACCAAAGAUUUAUCGCCUUUGGAUGGGCCCGCGUUGGGUUAGCUAGUUGGUAGGGUAAAAGCCUAACAAGGCGACGAUCCAUAGCUGGUCUGAGAGGAUGAUCAGCCACACUGGGACUGAGACACGGCCCAGACUCCUACGGGGAGCAGCAGUAGGGAAUAUUGGACAAUGGGCGAAAGCCUGAUCCAGCAAUGCCGCGUGAGUGAUGCAGGCCUUAGGGUUGUAAAGCUCUUUUACCCGGGAUGAUAAUGACAGUACCGGGAGAAUAAGCGCCGGCUAACUCCGUG